UCGGGAAUUUUGGGCAAUGGGCGAAAGCCUGACCCAGCAACGCCGCGUGAAGGAUGAAGUAUUUCGGUAUGUAAACUUCGAAAGAAUAGGAAGAAUAAAUGACGGUACUAUUUAUAAGGUCCGGCUAACUACGUGCCAGCAGCCGCGGUAAUACGUAGGGACCAAGCGUUGUUCGGAUUUACUGGGCGUAAAGGGCGCGUAGGCGGCAUGACAAGUCACUUGUGAAAUCUCUGGGCUUAACCCAGAACGGCCAAGUGAUACUGUCGCGCUAGAGUGCAGAAGGGGCAAUCGGAAUUCUUGGUGUAGCGGUGAAAUGCGUAGAUAUCAAGAGGAACACCUGAGGUGAAGACGGGUUGCUGGGCUGACACUGACGCUGAGGCUCGAAAGCGUGGGGAGCAAACAGGAUUAGAUACCCUUGUAGUCCCUGAGCGGGCUGGCAAGGCGCAU
rnacentral:rRNA from 1 species